UGGGGAAUCUUGCGCAAUGGGCGAAAGCCUGACGCAGCGACGCCGCGUGAGCGAUGAAGGCCUUCGGGUUGUAAAGCUCUGUGGAGGGGGACGAAUAAGUGCUGGCUAACAUCCAGCGCGAUGACGGUACCCCUUUAGCAAGCACCGGCUAACUCUGUGCCAGCAGCCGCGGUAAGACAGAGGGUGCAAACGUUGUUCGGAAUUACUGGGCGUAAAGCGCGUGUAGGCUGCUUGGAAAGUCGGAUGUGAAAGCCCUGGGCUCAACCCAGGAAGUGCAUUCGAAACUUCCGAGCUUGAGUUCUGGAGAGGGAAGCGGAAUUCUCGGUGUAGAGGUGAAAUUCGUAGAUAUCGAGAGGAACACCGGUGGCGAAGGCGGCUUCCUGGACAGUGACUGACGCUGAGACGCGAAAGCGUGGGGAGCAAACAGGAUUAGAUACCCCUGUAGUCC
rnacentral:rRNA from 1 species